rnacentral:rRNA from 1 species
AUUGAACGCUGGCGGCACGCCUAACACAUGCAAGUCGAGCGGUAGCAUGGUCAGUAGCAAUACUAACUGAUGACGAGCGGCGGACGGGUGAGGAACACGUAGGAACCUGCCCAAGAGAGGGGGAUAACUAAGGGAAACUUUAGCUAAUACCGCAUAAUUCUCUGAGGAGAAAAGUUGCCCGUAAGGGUAGCGCUUUUGGAGGGGCCUGCGUCCGAUUAGUUAGUUGGUGAGGUAAUGGCUCACCAAGACUGUGAUCGGUAACUGGUCUGAGAGGACGACCAGUCACAAUGGGACUGAGACACGGCCCAGACUCCUACGGGAGGCAGCAGUGGGGAAUCUUGGACAAUGGGGGCAACCCUGAUCCAGCGAUGCCGCGUGGGUGAAGAAGGCCUUCGGGUUGUAAAGCCCUUUAGGCUGGGAAGAAGUUUAUGGGAUGAAUAAUCCUGUAAAUUGACGGUACCAGCAGAAUAAGCACCGGCAAACUCUGUGCCAGCCGCCGCAGUAA